UACGGGGGGAGCAAGCGUUGUUCGGAUUUACUGGGCGUAAAGGGCGCGUAGGCGGUCAGCACAAGUCAGUUGUGAAAUCUCCGGGCUUAACUCGGAAAGGUCAACUGAUACUGUGCGACUAGAGUGCGGAGGGGGCAACUGGAAUUCUCGGUGUAGCGGUGAAAUGCGUAGAUAUCGAGAGGAACACCUGCGGCGAAGGCGGGUUGCUGGGCCGACACUGACGCUGAUGCGCGAAAGCCAGGGGAGCGAACGGG
rnacentral:rRNA from 1 species